CCUGGUUGAUCUUGCCAGUAGUCAUAUGCUUGUCUCAAAGAUUAAGCCAUGCAUGUGUAAGUAUGAAUAAAUUCAGACUGUGAAACUACGAAUGGCUCAUUAAAUCAGUUAUAGUUUGUUUGAUGGUAUCUACUACUUGGAUAACCGUAGUAAUUCUAGAGAUAAUACAUACAGUAAACCCCAAAUUCUAGAAGGGAUGCGUUUAUUAGAUAAAAGGUCGACGUGGGCUCUGCUCGUUCCUGCGAUGAUUCAUGAUAACUCGAUAGAUCGCACGGCCAUCGUACCGGCGACACAUUAUUCAAAUUUCUGCCCUAUCAACUUUCGAUGGUAGGAUAGUGGGAGGUAGUGACAAUAAAUAACAAUACCGGGCUCUAUGAGUUUGGUAAUUGGAAUGAGUACAAUCUAAAUCCACUGGAGGGCAAGUCUGGUGCCAGCAGGCGCACUAAUUCCAGCUCCAAUAGCGUAUAUAUAAGUUAUUCCAGUUAAAAAGCUCGUAGUUGGACUUUGGGAUGGGUGGGACGAUCCACCCUAGGUGUGUACCGGUCCUCUCGUCCCUUCGGUCAGAGAUAAUUGGCUGAGUCGUGCCUCUGGUACUGUUACUUUGAAGAAAUUAGAGUGCUCAAAGUAAGCCUAUGCUCUAUAUACAUUAGCAUGGGAUAACAUUAGAGGAUUUCGGUCCUAUUACGUUGGCCUUCAGGAUUGGAGUAAUGUUUAAUAGGGACAGUCAGGGGCAUUCGUAUUUCAUAGUCAGAGGUGAAAUUCUUGGAUUUAUGAAAGACGAACAACUGCAAAAGCAUUUGCCAAGGAUGUUUUCAUCAAUCAAGAAUGAAAGAUGGGGGCUCGAAGACGAUCAGAUAUCGUCCUAGUCUUAACCAUAAACGAUGUCGACCAUGGAUCGGCGAAUGUUGCUUUUAGGACUCCGCUGGCACCUUAUGAGAAAUCAAAAUUUUUGGGUUCCGGGGGGAGUAUGGCCGCAAGGCUGAAACUUAAAGGAAUUAACGGAAGGGCACCUCCAGGAGUGGAUCCUGCAGCUUUGACUCAACACAGGGAAACUUACCAGGUCCAGACAUAGUAAGGAUUGACAGACUGUGAGCUCUUUCUUGAUUCUAUGGGUGGUGGUGCAUGGCCGUUCUUAGUUGGUGGAGCAAUUUGUCUGGUUAAUUCCGUUAACGAACGAGACCUCAGCCUGCNUUUCCGUUAACGAACGAGACCUCCGCCUUUUAUUUAGCUAUGUGGAGGUAUCCCUUCGUGACCAGCUUCUUAGAGGGAUUAUGACCUUUUAGGCCCCGGAAGUUUGAGGUCAUAACAGUUCUGUGAUGCCCUUAGAUAUUCUGGGCCGCACGCGCGUUAUAUUGAUGUAUUCAAUAAGCUUAUAGCCUUGGUCGACAGGCUCAGGUAAUCUUUGAAAUUUCAUCGUGAUGGGGAUAGAUCAUUGCAAUUGUUGGUAUUCAACAAGGAAUUCCUAGUGAGCGCGAGUCAUCAGCUCACGUUUACUACGUCCCUGCCCUUUGUACACACCGCCCAUUGCUCCUACCGAUUGAAUGAUUUGGUGAAAUGUUCAAAUCGCGACGACGUGGGCGAUUCACUGCCCGCGACAUCGCGAGAAGUCCAUUGAACCUUAUCAUUUAGAGGAAGGAGAAUUCAACAAGGUUUCCGUAGGUAAACCUGCGGAAG
rnacentral:rRNA from 1 species